GUUAGGACUUACUGUAUUUGAUUUGUAUACAAAGGCUAUGGGAUUAUAUUUACUCCCUCACAACAGUCCUAUGAGGUAAGUAUAGGACCCCUAUUUCUCAUAGGAGGCUCUGUAGCUUAGACAAGUGAAGCAACAAGCUAAGGUCACAUAUGCUGAGAGAUGAACCAAAGUCUGACCAACUCGGGAUCCUGCCAUGCUAAGUGCUCUUUGUCCUCUACUAACUGCUGACAGUUAAGCUACAUAUUAAAGAAUGAAGAGUUCACGAGCUUUCAACACAACCCUGGAGCAUUCAGACACAACACAGAGAUAAGAGGAAUUGAGAAAUUUGUGAAAAUGGAAAAGAAACUGAUCAUCUGAUCAUGUGUCCAAUCUCUACUACAGGUUUUGAGCUUGAAUUAGGCUCAUAUUGUCAAAAAGAGAGAAGCUUCACUUGCAUGAGAAAUUGAAGUUUUUAUGUUAGAUUUAUCUUCAUCCUUUUUAUGUUGCUAUAACAGAAUACCUGAGACUUGGGAGUUUACAAGAAAAGAGAUUUCUUUAGCUCGUGAUUCUGACAACUGGAAAAUUCAAGAUCAGGCAGCUGCAUCUGGUGAGGGCCCCAUGCUGCUUAAACUCAUGGCAGAAAGUGGAAGGGGAGCUGGCAUGUGCAAAGAGAUGACAUGGUGGGAGGAAGGAAAAGAUUGGAACUGAGGAAGCCAGACUCUUUUUAACAACCUGCUGUCAGGAAAUAAUCCAUUCCUGCAAGAGGAAGAACUCACUUGCCCCCACAGGAGGCCAUUAAUCUACUCAUAAGAGAUCUGCCCAAUAACCCAAAUACCUCCCACUAGGCCCCACCUCCCAACACUUCCACAUUGGAGAUCAAAUUUCAGCAUGAUCUUUGGCAGAGACAAACCAAAUCAUAGCAAGACUGGACUCGGGUUUUUAAAAACUUAUAGAAAUUUUCGAACAUACGAAAAUAGAAUAGUAUAAUGAACUUCCAUGUCCUUAUCACCCAGCACACUACCCUGAUAUUCUACAUAUUAAAAAUUUGGAGCACAAGUAUACUUGACUAUUUUAAUACCUAAAUGUGAUGACUUCAUUUUGAUGUUUAAUCACUGGCAGCUUUCAGGCCCCACGCUUCUUCCUUCCCCUUUUACCUCACCCGGAAGCCAAUAAGAAAGCCUAGGAUUCUCCCUCAUGUGAUUGUACAAAUUCCAUAGGUUUUCUGGUCUCUUUUAGAUGACAUAAACAGUCUUAUUUUUAGUGUUCUGUGGGUGCCCUGUUAGGGAAGGAUCAAUUCCCCACUCAAUAUCAUUUUGGGUAUCAGGACUGAUGGUGUUAUACAUGCACCCAGAGGGUAUGAAUAUUACUCAUAUAAUGAAACUCUAGGGAGAAUAUGGCAGGUAUUCAAGCUCUUCUGGAAUGGCUUGAGUCAAGAGAAGAGCAAGUACUUUGGAUUUUUAUUAUAGUUAGGGGAUGGAGCCUGGGUGAGUUUCACAUAGCUCAGGGAUUACCUCCUCUACCCACAGGCAUCACCUCAGGGUAUCCAUGCUUCUUGUGCCUACACCUUCUCCUGGCUGGCUGAGUGUUCUGGAAGUCUAAGCGCAGAGAGAUAAAAGUUUCUGCAGAGAGCAGUUUCUUCCAGCAGAACAGUGCUGUGCCAGAACACUGAGGCCAGCAGUGGCAUGGCACUUUUCCCAGGAUCAGCUCUCACUGGGAACACUGAAUAUAUAUUAUAAAUUAUACCUUUUCAUAGAUGAAUUUCUAGGAAAAUUUUAUUCCCUAUUUUCAUGAGUUGUUCCUCCCUAACGAUAGAUGUUAAAGGCUCUAAUUGUCC
rnacentral:lncRNA from 1 species